GUGGUGGUCUAGUUGGUAUGACGUCUCGGGUGCUGAUACCGACCGUUUGCUUGACUUGGGUCUCGCAGUUCUGGUCCUUGAGUUGGAGAAGCGCAGUGUUCAAAUCCUGCCGGCUCCA